AUGCCUUAGUAACGGCGAGUGAAGCGGCAAAAGCUCAAAUUUGAAAUCUGGUACCUUCGGUGCCCGAGUUGUAAUUUGGAGAGGGCAACUUUGGGGCCGUUCCUUGUCUAUGUUCCUUGGAACAGGACGUCAUAGAGGGUGAGAAUCCCGUGUGGCGAGGAGUGCGGUUCUUUGUAAAGUGCCUUCGAAGAGUCGAGUUGUUUGGGAAUGCAGCUCUAAGUGGGUGGUAAAUUCCAUCUAAAGCUAAAUAUUGGCGAGAGACCGAUAGCGAACAAGUACAGUGAUGGAAAGAUGAAAAGAACUUUGAAAAGAGAGUGAAAAAGUACGUGAAAUUGUUGAAAGGGAAGGGCAUUUGAUCAGACAUGGUGUUUUGUGCCCUCUGCUCCUUGUGGGUGGGGGAAUCUCGCAUUUCACUGGGCCAGCAUCAGUUUUGGUGGCAGGAUAAAUCCAUAGGAAUGUAGCUUGCCUCGGUAAGUAUUAUAGCCUGUGGGAAUACUGCCAGCUGGGACUGAGGACUGCGACGUAAGUCAAGGAUGCUGGCAUAAUGGUUAUAUGCCGC
rnacentral:rRNA from 1 species